AAAAGAGGUUUUUUUGGGGGGGAAAAAAUGGGUUAAAGGAAAGCAGCUGCCGUGGGUCUAGUUCCUGGCUGUCCCUGCUGUGAGGCUGAGCUGGGAAUGAAGCUCCAGGAGGGAUCGGGACUGGAAUCACUUCUGUCAUGAGUUUGGUCCAGCCUCAGCUCGAUGGGAAGUGCAGGGUGGGGAAGGAACAUAUGGAGAGAGGGGGGAAGGCAGCAGGGCACAGGGAUUGGUGUCACAGCCCCUGUUUUGUCCCUUUGAUGGAUGCCGGGUGGGAAAAGACCAGCUGGUGCUCUGGGAAUUGUGCAGGGAUUUGAGGAUGGCAGAUGAUGAGGGAGGACCAGGUGCACGCAGGGUGGGCAGGGAAUUCUUUCCUGGCUCCACGCUCUGGGAAUUUGGGCCAGGAGGGGAUUUUGUGGUGCUGGGCUCUCCCUGGGGAAUAUUUGGGAUCCUAGCGAUGGAUACUACAGGAGAUGCUGAUCCAGUGAUGGACACUCAAGAACUUGGGGAUCCCAGUGAUGGAGGUUCAAGAAUCCAGAGAUCCAGGCUCAUCCCACAGUGUGGGCAGGAGGAAAAGAAGGAGUUCCUCCUCUUUGCCUUGCUCAGGCAAAUCCCAUUUCAGAGCCCCCCGAACGCCAGGCUGGGAACUGAACAUCCCGAUCGGAGCGAGCUGCGGUGGAUGGAGCAUCAGAACAGAAGAUUGUUUUUCCACAUGGGGCUGAGCAGCCGGGGUUUGGCUUCUGAUGUCCAUCCAAAACACGUGGGUGGGGAAGGAAUGCUCUGUUUUCAGUCAGCAAUGGAAUCACUGGUUUAAUUUUAGCCUCUCCGGAGCAGAACUUGAAGAAAGGAGUUCCCAGAGCAAAGCGCCCUACGGAGGCUGGAAGGGGAAGAGGAGCUGGAGUCUCCAUGUGGCUCCCAGGAAUAGUGGUGUGCCCCCAGACUGGUGCUCCUGAGCACGAAAAAUUCAUGGUUCUCAUUAAAAACCUGGAUCUGACUCAUCUGUGCAGGGCAGGAGAAGCAUUGGGACAUCGUGGAGCUGUUGGGAGGACAAGGAGAAGCCAUGGACGUGCCAAGCUCCAUCAAAAGGUGCCCCACCAAUACACAGGGAGCUUCAGUGGAUGAAAUGUUAGGAAGAAUUUGUCCCAGGAGGAAUCAAGAACCCUGGAGUAGCAGGUCCUGCAAGGUGGGAAUUUUGCAAUGGCAGCUGGUGGUGUAACUGCAUUAAAUUGGGAUAAAACCAGAUCCCUGGAUGGCCACAUGCUCCUGGAAGAGCUCUGCUGGACAAUGCUGAACAUCCAAACCAUAUUCCUAAUCCAAAUAUUUGCAGUUGGCAGUGUAUGGAUUUUUUUUUCUCAGCCUUUCCAAGCAGGGAAAAGUCCAAGGCCCGAGCACUUGGGGAGCAAAGUCCUCUCCCCUUCACGGCUGAAGUAGGAUCAAUACAGAUGUUUUCACAUGAACAAAUAUUUUUGGGAAUUCUGCCAUGGUUUUCUGGUGGAUUGAAUCUAUCCUUUGGAAUUGGCAAAGGAAAAGCCAUGAUUUCAUUGCCAGGAUAUGGUGGAGUCAUGUCAGAAUGAUGGAAUGGUUUGGGUUGGAAGGGACCUUCAAAUUCAUCCAGUUCCAUCCCUUGCCAUGGGUAGGGACACCUUCCAUGAUCCCAGGGUGCUCCAACCAUCAUCCAAGCUGGCCUUGGACACUUCCAGGGAUGGGACAGCUACAGCUCCUCUGGGAAUUCCAUCCCAGCCUCUCACCACCCUCACAGGGAGGAAUUUCUUCCCAAUAUCCCAUCUAUCCCUGUCCUCUGGCAGUAGGAAGCCAUUCCCUGUGUCCUGGCACUUCAGGUCCUUAUCCCAAGUCCCUCUCCAUCUCUCCUGGAGCCUCUUCAGGCACUGGAAGGGGCUCUGAGGUCUCCCUGGAUCCUUCCCUUCUCCAGGCUGGACAUUCCCAGCUCUUCCCAGCCUGGCUCCAGAGCAGAGGGGCUCCAUCCCUUGGAGCAUCUCCAUGGCCUCCUCUGGAUUUGCUCCAGCAUCUCCAGGUCCUUCUGCUGUUGGGGACCCCAGAGCUGGGUCCUGUGAGUCCCUGCUGUUUCCUUUCCUCACUCAGUAAAGGAAUCUCAUUUUGCCGUGGGAUGUCACAGCCCCCACGAUCCCAUUCCCACAGAGUGGAGGAUUUAGGAUAUUUUUGGAUUAAUUGAUUUGUAGUCGAGGUUUUUGAUCCAUGGAAUUGAUCCAGGUUUUUGGUCCUUCUGCCUCGAUGGAAUUGCCAAAUGAGGCAUCCUGGAUUCAGUGGGUGAACAAAGAGGAGAAAGAGGAGGAUUUGCUCUCUGUCCCUACUUGAAAUACCUUGGAAAAUAAUUCCUGCUGGGAAUGACAAUGACAUGGAAGCACAGAGACCAUUCCUCUGGUUUCUCCCUUUCCCAAGCAUGUGGAUUGAGGUCCGUGGGCAGCUCCUGCCUUGGCAGUGCCACCAGAGGCAAGAAACAUCCCCAAAAACCAGACACCACCACAAAAAACCAGCACCCACUCGAUAAAUGACAGCAGCUUUUCCUUGCUGCUCCUGCAGCCAUUUCUUCUCCUGUUCCUGACAUUUUCCUCUCUGUUUUCCAUCUAAUCCAGGAGAUAUCUCCUUCCCUUGAGCCUUGCUCUGGAGUCUUGUUGUUAUCAGCAGAAAAAUGUGAGUCAAGAGUUUGUUUGCCCUUGGGAAGCACUUUUCCCCCCCCCCCCCCACUCCUGGAGUUAAAAUAGGAAAAACAUUUUGUUUAAGAAGCAAAUUUCUUCAGUGGUAGAAAAUUGCUGAGCUCCUCUCGGAGCUAGGGCUGUGUCCAUGGAUUUCUGUAGGAAUGGAAGGAAGGGUUUUUAGUAGGGACAGAAUGAGGGGUGAUGGAUUUAGACGGGAGGGAGAGGUUGAGAUUGGAGAUAAAAACUAAUUUGUUCACUUGUGAGGAUGGUGAGAGGCUGGAUCGGGCUGCUCAGGAAAGUUUUGGAUGCUCCAUCCCUGGAAAUGUUGAGAGGAAAAAGUGGGAGAAGUGAAAGGAGAAAGAGAAAAAGAUAAGGAGAAGGAAAAGGAGGGUGGGGAGGAAGAGGAGGAGAGAAAGAUGGGAAGGAGAAAUAAAAAGGAGAAGGAGAAGGAGAAGGAGAAGGAGAAGGAGAAGGAGAAGGAGAAGGAGAAGGAGAAGGAGAAGGAGAAGGAGAAGGAGAAGGAGAAGGAGAAGGAGAAGGGAAGGGAAGGAAAAAAGGAAGAGGAAGAGGAAGAGGAAAAGGAAAAAAGGAAAAGGAAAAGGAAAAGGAAAAGAAAAAGGAAAAGGAAAAGGAAAAGGAAAAGGAAAAGGAAAAGGAAAAGGAAAAGGAAAAGGAAAAGGAAAAGGAAAAGGAAAAGGAAAAGGAAAAGGAAAAGGAAAAGUCCUGCAUCCAUAUCACAUCCCAUUAUCCAUGCCCUGGAUGGUGCUGGCACAGCAGGGAAUGGGUCACUCACCUCCAGACUCCUCCCAAUCCUUCAGCAAAAGGAUUCAGGGAACAACCACCGACCUUGGGACUACACAGGUUUUAAACCUUCACUCUCUUGAUUUUCCACUUCCUCCUGGAUUCUCUCCCAUUUUUUUACACUUUAAUUAAGGCAUCUCCCUGAAACCUUGACACAAUGAUCCCAGAGACUCACAAGUGCUGGAAGACAUUCCAGGAAAGCUGUGGCUGCCCCCAUCCCUGGAAUUGUUCCAGGCCAGGUUGGACAGGGCUUGGAGCAGCCUGGGAUAGUGGAAGGUGCCCGUGCCCAUGGAAAGGGGUGGAAUUCCAUGACUCUGCAGGUCCCUUCCAAUCCAAACCAUUCCAUGAUUCCAUGAUGUCCCACACAUGCUGUUCCUGCAAAUGGAUCCCUGGCAGAGCUGGGUGUUUCAGGAUCCAGGGAUCCUCUGGCACAGUUGUCACUGGAUCUGCACUGGGAUAAUGUUUUAGGACAUUGAAAGGAUUUAUUUUUGGGCUGAACGAGAUAAUUUAAUUCUUCUUCCCUGUGUUCCCUUCCCUGGGAUGUUUACUCAUGCUCAAAACCCUGCACUUGCUUUUUUUUUUUUUUUUUUUCCCCUCUUUUAAAAAAAAUUAAAUUAGACUUCCAAAGUGUCAUAGAAACUUAGUGCUGUGAAUUAAAAGUGCCAUGAAUUCUUUUUGGAUAUGCUGCUUGUGACAGGAAUGGGCUGAAAAGCCAGGAAAAAAAAAAAAAAGUUUAUUUUAAUAUUUUAACAUCCUCGUCUGUCCUUUGCCCUCUGCACAAAUCCCAGGGGAGAUUUCUGCCAGCUGCUUGUCCCGAGGCAGGAUGCUCCUCUCUGUUCCCUGGAGAAGAUCCAGUUCAUGCUUAAAAUGCUGCUUCUCCUCCUCUGGAUACCCCCAUCCCAAAGCUUUCCCGAUGGAAAACAUCCGAGGAUGACCCCAAGUGGCCCAAGAUCCUCCAAACUUUGCAUUUUCUCCUUAUAAAUUUUGGCAUAAAUUGGUAAAACAGCUUUGAGUUCGCCUUUUCCCGAGGUUGGAUUUUGUGGGAGUGGUGGAUCCACGGCUUCCCUGGCUUAAAAAUGAGCUUUUCCUCCACGUGUGCUGAAUUAAUUUCAAUUCAGAGCAGCUCGUUCCCAGCUCUUUUAUGCAAAGCACUCGACUCCCCGUGCCAGCACAAGGGAGGGAAGGAGCAGCUGGGAGUGGAGGAGGAUUUUUUUUGGCACAAGUGCCAAUUCCUGUCAGUUUAAAGCCAUUAUGAAACUCUGGGUGGGAUUUGGGAUCUAUUGAAGCUGAUCUGAGGCCGCCCAAAGGGAGGAGAUCUGUCAUUCCUGCCUGCCUGGUUCCCAGCCUGUUCCCAUGUGUGCAAAACUUGGAAAAAAAGAGAGGACUUGGGGUAUUUUUAGCAGUUUUUGGGUCACACUCCCUAAAUUCUUUGCAUUUUGAAGCCUUUUCUCACAAAAUAGUUUAUCCCAACAAGCUGGUUCUUCCCAAAUUCCACUUUAAAAUGCCACAAAACACCAAAAAUAAUUUACUAAAUCUCCCUUUCCAAGCAGGGAAAUCGUGGGCUCAUCCCAGAGAUGUGAUUUGAUCAGAGCUGGGACAGGCAGAACUCCCUGGCUGCAUUGGGAAGUGAGAUAUCCCAAGGGACAGCGUCUGUUUUAAUGGAUUUGAGGUUGAUAAUGGGUUGCUUUUCCAAAUGUUCCAUCCUGGUGUCGUGUUGCUCCAGCUCCUUGGCUCGGCUUUUUGUUCCCUGAAUAAUUUUAGGCUGGAGUUUUAUCUUCUUUACACACUUGAGGCUCUGCUGCUCUUUAUUUAAGGGGUUUAUUCCCUUGAGGAAAAAUUGAAUUAUUUGGAAAACAAGCUCCUUAAGGAUUUUCUUCACUUUCACAGUAAAUUUGAAGUUUUGGGACCGGUUUUCCUGUGAAACCCUUUAAAAAUGACAGCCAAAGUGUGGGAAAUAGGGAAUCACGAGGCUGAUGGGUGGAAUUAACAUUUCCUUGCUGGAGAUUUUCCUUUGGAUCACCAGGAAAAUCUCCCCCUCGUGCCUGGCUGUGG